AUAUAAAUGAUGGCGACCGGCGCACGGGUGAGUAACACGUAUCCAACCUCCCUUUUACUCGGGGAUAGCCUUUCGAAAGAAAGAUUAAUACCCGAUAGUAUAUGGUUUUCUCAUGAAGAUCCUAUUAAAGAAUUUCGGUAAAAGAUGGGGAUGCGUUCCAUUAGGCAGUUGGCGGGGUAACGGCCCACCAAACCUACGAUGGAUAGGGGUUCUGAGAGGAAGGUCCCCCACAUUGGAACUGAGACACGGUCCAAACUCCUACGGGAGGCAGCAGUGAGGAAUAUUGGUCAAUGGGCGAGAGCCUGAACCAGCCAAGUAGCGUGAAGGAUGACUGCCCUAUGGGUUGUAAACUUCUUUUAUAAGGGAAUAAAGUGGAGUAUGUAUACUCCUUUGUAUGUACCUUACGAAUAAGGAUCGGCUAACUCCGUGCCAGCAGCCGCGGUAAUACGGAGGAUCCGAGCGUUAUCCGGAUUUAUUGGGUUUAAAGGGAGCGUAGGCGGAUGUUUAAGUCAGUUGUGAAAGUUUAAGGCUCAACCUUGAAAUUGCAGUUGAUACUGGAUAUCUUGAGUACAUUGAAUGUGGGCGGAAUUCGUGGUGUAGCGGUGAAAUGCUUAGAUAUCACGAAGAACUCCAAUUGCGAAGGCAGCUCACAGUAAUGUAACUGACGCUGAUGCUCGAAAGUGUGGGUAUCAAACAGGAUUAGAUACCCUGGUAGUCCACACAGUAAACGAUGAAUACUCGCUGUUUGCGAUAUACAGUAAGCGGCCAAGCGAAAGCGUUAAGUAUUCCACCUGGGGAGUACGCCGGCAACGGUGAAACUCAAAGGAAUUGACGGGGGCCCGCACAAGCGGAGGAACAUGUGGUUUAAUUCGAUGAUACGCGAGGAACCUUACCCGGGCUUGAAUUGCACUCGAAUAUGGUUGAAAGAUCAUAGCCGCAAGGCGAGUGUGAAGGUGCUGCAUGGUUGUCGUCAGCUCGUGCCGUGAGGUGUCGGCUUAAG
rnacentral:rRNA from 1 species